GGCUGAGGAUUUGUGCUCGGUAUAACCCGAGGUGGUUGGAGGUGGUCGAGCUGGACGAGGUGGCGGACGAGGAUUCGUGCUCGUUCUGUGCCCCACCUAGUGAUCCACUAGUAC
rnacentral:lncRNA from 1 species